rnacentral:rRNA from 1 species
UAGGUCUCGCCCGUCGUCGUGUUGGUCUCUUUUUCCUCUUCGCUGUCCCGCCCGUCGUCGCAGAGGAGGGGGACGGGAGUAGGGAUAACGGCGGCGGCCCAGGAGAGGAGAGGGAUAGCCACGCUCACCCGCCCAGCGCCGAACACCUCUCGCUCCUCUCCCUCCUCUGUCUACGCACUCCUCCUCCUCCGGUGCCGGCAGCCGAGGAGAGGAGAGGGGCAGCCGCGGUCGCGCGACCAGCGCCCCUCACUCCUCUCGCUCCUCUCCCUCCCCCUUCUACGCACUCCUCCUCCUGGUCCGCCACCGCGUCGUCGGUCUAAGCUCCGCGCACCCGCGCCUCCGUCGGCGCCACCCGAGGCUGGAGAAGAAGUGCGUGCCGCCGUCCUCGUCGAGGUGGAGAGGUGAGGGGGUACGCACUCGGGAGGUGUUGGGGUGGGUGGUGUGGCUCCGCCGCAGGUUUCCGCCAGCCGCCACCGCGUCCAAGAUUAUCUACUCACUACUGAUUACCAACUACGUUUCCUCCUCCGCAUGACUACCUUCGACCGUCGUUUUAAUCCACUCUGACCUAUCGGGCAGGGUUCACGCGUACUCGAGAGGCAGGAACUCGGGAAGAAGAGGAGAGAGGCGCGGCAGAGCGGAGGGGACGAGAGCGUGGCGGUGGAAGGGACGGACCGCGAGCUCCGCGGUACUAAAACCUAGCCCGCCUAUAGAAGUGGCCCUCUCAUCCUCGUGAACGACAAUUAUACUUGCUAGAGAGUGAUUCAAAACAAUACCGUAACACGGCUAAGUACUAAAUUUGUGCGUUUUACAGACCAAACGUAUAAACACGGAACGGGACAAUGGUCGUCACAUAAAAAACGGCAUUCUUUCUGUUGUUACGAAAUAAAGAAACUGAAAAACUGGCACAGAUUAAAGACCAUUUUCUCUCCUUAAAGUCUCUCUAUCUGUUGGACUUCUCGAAACUUACCAACAAGCUCACACGGUGCGACGACAACGCAUCGACCGUGGCCACACAGCGAUGACGGCUCUAUUCGCGUCAAAUGAGGUCCAAACCACUACCACAACUUGUUGUGGAAUUGACCCGGUUCCUUAAAUCAUCGUAACACCCUAGUAUUUGGUCAAAAAGACAAGAGACACGAGUGUAUCAUUCUUGUACGAACGUUCAAGAAAAGGAAUCCACAUUAAAGAAAACGACUCUAUCUAAUUCGGACCCAGCUCCACCGACAACACACGGCCAACGGUCAUGAACAAACAACAUUACAGAAUGGGUCACUCUAAAGAAAAUAAGAACGGAUAAAAGUCUCCAAGACGAACUUCUAAGAGAUUAGUGAAAGAAACCUUGAAAAACGACUCUAUACGAAGGUCCAAUGAAGUUACAAUGGUCUGAAUUUUACAUGAUAGAUCGUAUGAUCGUGCACACAUAUACUACGGAGGAAAAUAGGAACUUACAUUCUGUGUACCACAAAACAAGGUAACAAUACGAAUUGCCUUCACUACAAGACAAUAGUAUAAGUUUUGAUAUCGAGAAACAAACGUCAUAGAGCCUCCCUCGUUAUAAAACUAUGAACGAAACACCCUUAAGAGAAAGAAACGGAUCUUAAACACUAAAUACCGACUACAGUUAAGGUGGAAACAUCCACAAAGAGUUAAUAAUGAUUACAACUUUGACGUCUCCUCGUCCUCUACUCCUCCCGGGGUGAACCACAUGUUACCACUUACUACGCCGUCAAUCUGGCCCUCUACUCCUCGCGCCGUGACCCACAUGCUUCCUAAUCAUCCUUCUUACAAUUAGUGUCACCCACUUUUCCAUAUGCUUUUACGCUCGAGCCGAUUAACGUAUGAUAAACCAACUCAACAAAACAGGAUUUCUAUGUUAGUUCGACUUCUAAAGAAAACAUACCUUUAAGUGGUACCCUUAGCUUUAUUACCAUGAGACGUGUCGGCAAUGAAAGAACGUAGCUAAGAAGUAAGAUGUUCAGUGUGGAAAAGAUAAACCAUUUUCUUCUCACUCGAGUACGAACUUGAAGGUGAUAUAUACAAUUGUGAACCUAUGACAUAGUUAGGUCAUUAGUAGACUAGGAAGUAACAAAAGGGAACGUAACGGAGGAAAUUGAGAAGACCUGGAAACUUUUCUUACUAAAAAGUCAAUAUAUUACAUAAUACAAAACAAAGCAACAGCUCUCCAUCUACCAUUUCAUCCGACCAUAAAAGUAAAACAAGUAUACGUCUAUAAACUAUAUUCACUUAUAUAUGGGAAACCAUCCACUUACACGAGAGGCAAUUAUAGUGACUAUAUAAACUCGAAGUCUCUUCCUAUAGAUACGGUAAAACAAAAACAAAAAAACUUGUUUUCUCACAACAUACACAUAGCAAUUCCCCUACUUCGUCGUUUCAAUGGAUGCGUUAAAUCGUCCUACACCGACUAUGCAUGUCUCACCAAAUGAAUCCAAACCACAAUGACGAUAGAGAUAGCAACAUUUUGACGUCUCGUCGUCUCAAAUAUCUAAAUAGCUGGUACGAAAACCACGGUCAUCAAAACAUACAUUCUACAUCGACAACACGUCGAGGUACACAGAUACACUAGACUACAUAUCUAUAUUGUAUUGUAAGAUUUUAAAUAUCAAUAAGAGAUAUAUACUCUUUCGUACUUUCUUGAUACAUAAUCCCCAUUUAUUAGAAAAGACAACAAACUAUUUUGUCAAUCCGCCGAUGGGACAGUAUAUAAAACUAAGAGGAAACUGCUUUAAGGAUAGGAACUUACGGUAAAACAGGUACCAAAAAUACAAAAUACAACAAGUGAUGUACUAUGACUUAAUUGUCAAUGUGCUUUCAAAUCGCUUGUGAAAAGAUUCUCUUCGGAGAAGGGCGUGUACCUACGACUAGUACUACUCGAUGGUUAGUCAUGUCCUCUGCCCUGGUGGUCACAGUACCGGGAGAAAUAGUUCCCGCAGCUGUUGUCCCGAUGUGAGUGUUACUUGACCUCGUCGAAGAAGGUAUUCCGUUUGUACUUCUUUCCCACAUGUAUACGAAAGUGGAAGUUCACGUGCAGGUUCCCGGAAACGUACUAACAGAUAGGUUAGAUUCCUCCAGUGUCAUCAGGAAACGAUGCAUUGAACCAUAAUGAUAUUCAUGGAUAACUCUGAAAAUAUAGAUCGUAGUAAAACCUAGAAUACAUUUUUUUAAUACUAUUAGGACAGGCAUACUGAUAGUAGUUAGGUAUGAUUAAAAGUAUACAAAGGAAGG